GUUCGUUAGAUAUAUAUGUCGUGUGCCUAGUGUAUCGACGUUGAAUGGUAGACUGAAAACGAUAUGAAAAUCCAGACUAUGUCUUGUGUGUGUGUGUGUGUGUGUGUGUGUGUGUGUGUGUGUGUGUAGAUCGAUAAGCGCGCGUGUUCCGGUGCACUGAACGUUUCAAUCGAACAGUCCCCACUUCAUAUAUCGCUACAAAUCGAUGUGAGACUACGACACCGUCAGGCGGUCGCAUUAAAACGUUCAGCGACGAAGCUGUUAGAAUUAAAUCAUUAAAUAAAAUGUGAAUGCUGGCUACAUGAUAUGAAUGUAACAGUAUAAGGAUAAU